AGAGAGGGGCUCCCACGGUGCAGCUGCGGGCUGAAGGGCUCCUGAAGCGCGGCCAGAGUGGGCUGAGGCCGAGGAGGCGCCGAGAGCCAGCGAGGGGAUGCCAGCAAGCUGUCACCUCUCAGAAAUACAGGAAGAACAUCAAUAAUGUUCGAAGUUAUAAAGUGCGGAGGCCAGAAGUCAGAAAACAAGGUGUCUGCAGGACCAACCUCUCCUCUGGAUGCUCUAGGAAAAUAGCAUUACUUGAAGUGCCUUUCCCCCUGUAAUCCGACUCCAUCGUCUUUAACGUGUUUGGAAUUGUGUACACAGUUUAUUGUUAUUGGUUUCCUUAGCCUUUUUAGAACCAAGCAACGCCAAUUACCAACAAAAUCCGUUGCGCCGCAGUGAGUUAGCUACCUUCUAUCUCCACUUUGUUCUGCACGUCGAUCUCAGGAGAAGCCAGCUCCCAUGUUAAGAAGUUCAAAUACCUAGAGACUGCGAUGGUUUGCAGAGGCUCAAGCUAACCACAUGGAAAGACAUGGAGAGAUAUUCCUUGCCAACCCUCAACUACUCCAACUAUUCUAAGACAUCAAACCUGAAAACAAACCGCAGGUCACCCACCGGUCUGAAGAGGAGGAUGAGAGACAAAGAAAAAAGUUGUCUGGCUGCCUCUGCUGUCUACAGAUUGAAGAAGAUCCAUCCAGCUGAGCCCAGCCUAGACCAGCUGACUUCUCCAAUAAGCCUGUAUGAAAUAAAUGCUUAUUGUUAUGUGAAGAGGAAGAGGAGCGACUGAAGAAGAAAGAGGGUGGAGGUGAAGAUGUGGAGCUCAUAUUGAAUCUUUGGAAAAGUGAAAAUGGCUUUUAGUAU
rnacentral:lncRNA from 1 species